GAUGAACGCUGGCGGCGUGCCUAAUACAUGCAAGUCGAGCGAACGGACGAGAAGCUUGCUUCUCUGAUGUUAGCGGCGGACGGGUGAGUAACACGUGGAUAACCUACCUAUAAGACUGGGAUAACUUCGGGAAACCGUAGCUAAUACCGGAUAAUAUUUUGAACCGCAUGGUUCAAAAGUGAAAGACGGUCUUGCUGUCACUUAUAGAUGGAUCCGCGCUGCAUUAGCUAGUUGGUAAGGUAACGGCUUACCAAGGCAACGAUGCAUAGCCGACCUGAGAGGGGGAUCGGCCCCACUGGAACUGAGACACGGUCCAGACUCCUACGGGAGGCAGCAGUAGGAAAUCUUCCGCAAUGGGCGAAAGCCUGACGGAGCAACGCCGCGUGAGUGAUGAAGGUCUUCGGAUCGUAAAACUCUGUUAUUAGGGAAGAACAUAUGUGUAAGUAACUGUGCACAUCUUGACGGUACCUAAUCAGAAGCCACGGCUAACUACGUG
rnacentral:rRNA from 1 species